rnacentral:tRNA from 1 species
GGGCCCGUAGCUCAGUUGGGAGAGCGCUCGGAUGGCAUCCGAGAGGCCAGGGGUUCAAGUCCCCUCGGGUCCACCA